rnacentral:rRNA from 1 species
CCUGCCUGUGAGGGUUGCUGGAGGUAUCAGAAGUGCGAAUGCUGACAUAAGUAACGAUAAAGCGGGUGAAAAGCCCGCUCGCCGGAAGACCAAGGGUUCCUGUCCAACGUUAAUCGGGGCAGGGUGAGUCGACCCCUAAGGCGAGGCCGAAAGGCGUAGUCGAUGGGAAACGGGUUAAUAUUCCCGUACUUGGUGUUACUGCGAAGGGGGGACGGAGAAGGCUAUGUUGGCCGGGCGACGGUUGUCCCGGUUUAAGCGUGUAGGUGUGUGUUCCAGGUAAAUCCGGUUCACUUUAACACUGAGGCGUGAYGACGAGGCACUACGGUGCUGAAGCAACAAAUGCCCUGCUUCCAGGAAAAGCCUCUAAGCAUCAGGUAACAUCAAAUCGUACCCCAAACCGACACAGGUGGUCAGGUAGAGAAUACCAAGGCGCUUGAGAGAACUCGGGUGAAGGAACUAGGCAAAAUGGUGCCGUAACUUCGGGAGAAGGCACGCUGACACGUAGGUGAAGUGAUUUACUCAYGGAGCUGAAGUCAGUCGAAGAUACCAGCUGGCUGCAACUGUUUAUUAAAAACACAGCACUGUGCAAACACGAAAGUGGACGUAUACGGUGUGACGCCUGCCCGGUGCCGGAAGGUUAAUUGAUGGGGUCAGCGCAAGCGAAGCUCCUGAUCGAAGCCCCGGUAAACGGCGGCCGUAACUAUAACGGUCCUAAGGUAGCGAAAUUCCUUGUCGGGUAAGUUCCGACCUGCACGAAUGGCGUAAUGAUGGCCAGGCUGUCUCCACCCGAGACUCAGUGAAAUUGAACUCGCUGUGAAGAUGCAGUGUACCCGCGGCAAGACGGAAAGACCCCGUGAACCUUUACUAUAGCUUGACACUGAACAUUGAGCCUUGAUGUGUAGGAUAGGUGGGAGGCUUUGAAGUGUGGACGCCAGUCUGCAUGGAGCCGACCUUGAAAUACCACCCUUUAAUGUUUGAUGUUCUAACGUGGACCCGURAUCCGGGUUGCGGACAGUGUCUGGUGGGUAGUUUGACUGGGGCGGUCUCCUCCUAAAGAGUAACGGAGGAGCACGAAGGUUGGCUAAUCCUGGUCGGACAUCAGGAGGUUAGUGCAAUGGCAUAAGCCAGCUUGACUGCGAGCGUGACGGCGCGAGCAGGUGCGAAAGCAGGUCAUAGUGAUCCGGUGGUUCUGAAUGGAAGGGCCAUCGCUCAACGGAUAAAAGGUACUCCGGGGAUAACAGGCUGAUACCGCCCAAGAGUUCAUAUCGACGGCGGUGUUUGGCACCUCGAUGUCGGCUCAUCACAUCCUGGGGCUGAAGUAGGUCCCAAGGGUAUGGCUGUUCGCCAUUUAAAGUGGUACGCGAGCUGGGUUUAGAACGUCGUGAGACAGUUCGGUCCCUAUCUGCCGUGGGCGCUGGAGAACUGAGGGGGGCUGCUCCUAGUACGAGAGGACCGGAGUGGACGCAUCACUGGUGUUCGGGUUGUCAUGCCAAUGGCACUGCCCGGUAGCUAAAUGCGGAAGAGAUAAGUGCUGAAAGCAUCUAAGCACGAAACUUGCCCCGAGAUGAGUUCUCCCUGAGACUUAAAGUCUCCUGAAGGAACGUUGAAGACGACGACGUUGAUAGGCCGGGUGUGUAAGCGCAGCGAUGCGUUGAGCUAACCGGUACUAAUGAACCGUGAGGCUUAACCUU